rnacentral:rRNA from 1 species
UACGUAGGGGGCAAGCGUUGUCUGGAUUUAUUGGGCGUAAAGAGCGUGUAGGCGGCCGUACAGGUCAGCUGUGAAAACUCGAGGCUCAACCUCGAGACGUCGGUUGAAACCGUACGGCUAGAGUCCGGAAGAGGAGAGUGGAAUUCCCGGUGUAGCGGUGAAAUGCGCAGAUAUCGGGAAGAACACCCGUGGCGAAGGCGGCUCUCUGGGCCGUUACUGACGCUGAGGAGCGAAAGCGUGGGGAGCGAACAGG